UAUCAGAAGUGCGAAUGCUGACAUAAGUAACGAUAAAGCGGGUGAAAAGCCCGCUCGCUGGAAGACCAAGGGUUCCUGUCCAACGUUAAUCGGGGCAGGGUGAGUCGACCCCUAAGGCGAGGCCGAAAGGCGUAGUCGAUGGGAAACAGGUUAAUAUUCCUGUACUUGGUGUUACUGCGAAGGGGGGACGGAGAAGGCUAUGUUGGCCGGGCGACGGUUGUCCCGGUUUAAGCGUGUAGGCUGGUUUUCCAGGCAAAUCCGGAAAAUCAAGGCUGAGGCGUGAUGACGAGGCACUACGGUGCUGAAGCAACAAAUGCCCUGCUUCCAGGAAAAGCCUCUAAGCAUCAGGUAACAU
rnacentral:rRNA from 1 species